UUUGGGUCGUGGCCCUAAUCAUGUGCCGAAGGCCCCAGCUAAUCCGAAUGAUCGCAUUAUCAUACAGAUCCGUUCUCAUCCAAAAAGCACGUAAGUUAAACAUUGUGUAUAAAUAACAAUUUAAUAUUUCCAUUGUUAUAAAUAUUUCCAUUGUUAUAAGGGAAAAGCUUGAUUAGGAUAUUUUGGUAGGUCCAAACAUUGAAACCCAUAUAAGCAUAUGUCGGUGCAUUUAUCAAC
rnacentral:lncRNA from 1 species